AAUAUGGUAGGAUAAAUUAGUCUAUGAGAUUCAUAUUCUUAUGGUUUUCAUAUUU
rnacentral:tRNA from 1 species